GUGCCAGCAGCCGCGGUAAGACGUAGGAUGCGAGCGUUGUCCGGAUUUAUUGGGCGUAAAGAGUUCGUAGGUGGUUUUAUAAGUCUGGUGUCAAAGGCUGGGGCUCAACCCUGGAUGUGCACUGGAUACUGUAAGACUGGAGUGCAGUAGAGGCAAGCGGAAUUCCCAGUGUAGCGGUGAAAUGCGUAGAUAUUGGGAAGAACACCGGUGGCGCAAGCGGCUUGCUGGGCUGUAACUGACACUGAGGAACGAAAGCUAGGGGAGCGAAUGGGAUUAGAUACCCCAGUAGUCC
rnacentral:rRNA from 1 species